rnacentral:rRNA from 1 species
AUUGAACGCUGGCGGCAUGCUUUACACAUGCAAGUCGAACGGUAACAGGCCUUCGGGUGCUGACGAGUGGCGAACGGGUGAGUAAUGCAUCGGAACGUACCCAGAGGUGGGGGAUAACGCAGCGAAAGCUGUGCUAAUACCGCAUGUGAUCUGAGGAUGAAAGCGGGGGACCGAGCAGCAAUGUUUGGCCUCGCGCCUUUGGAGCGGCCGAUGUCGGAUUAGCUAGUUGGUGGGGUAAAGGCCUACCAAGGCGACGAUCCGUAGCUGGUCUGAGAGGACGACCAGCCACACUGGGACUGAGACACGGCCCAGACUCCUACGGGAGGCAGCAGUGGGGAAUUUUGGACAAUGGGCGCAAGCCUGAUCCAGCAAUGCCGCGUGCGGGAAGAAGGCCUUUGGGUUGUAAACCGCUUUUGGCAGGAACGAAACGGUGUCCGCUAAUACCGGGCGCUAAUGACGGUACCUGCAGAAUAAGCACCGGCUAACUACGUG